rnacentral:rRNA from 1 species
CCUACGGGGGGCAGCAGUGGGGGAUAUUGGACAAUGGGGGAAACCCUGAUCCAGCGACGCCGCGUGAGUGAAGAAGUAUUUCGGUAUGUAAAGCUCUAUCAGCAGGGAAGAAAGAAAUGACGGUACCUGAGUAAGAAGCCCCGGCUAACUACGUGCCAGCAGCCGCGGUAAUAAGUAGGGGGCAAGCGUUAUCCGGAAUUACUGGGUGUAAAGGGAGCGUAGACGGUAAUGCAAGUCUGGAGUGAAAGGCGGGGGGUCAACCUCCGGACGUCUCUGGAAACUGUGUAACUGGAGUGCAGGAGAGGCAGGCGGAAUUCCUAGUGUAGCGGUGAAAUGCGUAGAUAUUAGGAGGAACACCAGUGGCGAAGGCGGCCUGCUGGACUGUAACUGACGUUGAGGCUCGAAAGCGUGGGGAGCAAACAGGAUUAGAUACCCCGGUAGUC